GCGUUCUUGGCUCAGUUGGUUAGAGUGCAGGUCUCAUAGAAAUACGACUAAUCUUUUCAUUACGCAAUCCUGAGGUCACAAGUUCGAAUCUUGCAGGAGGCA
rnacentral:tRNA from 1 species